UAGGCGUAGAAAAAAUGUCUCCCUGCUUCACUCGUCCUCUUUCAUUCGUACUGCUCCUCCUCCUAGCUCCACCCACAGGUGUGUUCAGGUGAGUUUAACCUGAAACCUGCGUCACACCCUCUCUCUUACACAAACAUUGUAACUCAUUACUUUGGACUUUUACCCUUUAACUCAAUAUCACAUUUUUUCUCAUUUUCCAAGCAUUAUUAUUAUUAUUAUUAUUAUUAUUAUUAUUAAGUACAUAAAAUAUUUCCUCCAAAAGUGUGUAAAAUAUAGCACUAGGGUUGUUUAUUCUGUGUGUGUGUGUGUGAGAGAGAGAGAGCGUCAAUUCAGAAGGACGGAGAGGUAAACUGUUACUCAGACACACGUUUUGUUGCUGAGGUGAAGGUGAACUUGGCUGGAGAACCUCAGCAGAAAGAGGCGAGUCGUGAUCUCACUUUGCUUGUCAGCCACAAUAAAAGCAGAGUGUUUCUGAAGGUGAUGUUCCACUGAGAAGCGCCGCUGCAGGAAUUAAACAUCGGCUCUGAGAUCAGCACAGAAACCUGAACAUCCACAAGGGUCUGUCUGUAACGAUGAUGUCACAGAGGACUGCCACACCCACCAUACAACCAACCAGUGAGCAGCUUCAUUACAGUUCAGAUUUCAUCGCGGUUCUCCUGAAAGACACAGCGUCUCGACCUCGACACUUUGAACCUCAUGUCCUGAUGGAGAAACAUCACCGCUGAAUUAACGACAGAAAAUGAGCUUCGUCCACCUCAGUGUGUGUUGCAUCACGUGAGAUACAACUCACUCAGGACGUUUAAACUCCAGCCUCAUUGCCAUCUUUCUGCUCCACUGUUCACACCAACACCGCUGAGGAACUCAUCUCAUCUCUUAUUCACUCCCUGCAACGUGCCGCUGCUGUCGUGUGUAUGGAGUGUGUAAAUGCUCUGCUCUCCUGUGUUUUGGUGAUGGUGCAGGAGCUCAGCUGAUAAUCUGAUUACAGACUGAACUGAUGGAGUUUGAGCUCAGUGUGUGACUCUCUAAAUCCUGAUCACAUGCUGAGAAACUCACACUGAACUCAUGACACUUCACCCCUUUACACACACCGAGGAUCUCAACUGGGGAGUAAAACAACACAUCAUGGUGUCUGGGAACACACAGCAGGACAACAUGAGGAAAGAAACCCCCUGAAACAUUUCCACAUUGUUUCGUGCUGAGUUCCAUUUGAUCUGAGUCUGGACCGCCACCUGCUGGACACCACACACACACACACACACACACACACACAC